AUACGUAGGUGGCAAGCGUUGUCCGGAUUUACUGGGCGUAAAGGGUGUGUAGGCGGAUAUUUAAGUGAGAUGUGAAAUCCCCGAGCUUAACUUGGGUGCUGCAUUUCAAACUGGAUAUCUAGAGUGCAGGAGAGGAGAAUGGAAUUCCUAGUGUAGCGGUGAAAUGCGUAGAGAUUAGGAAGAACACCAGUGGCGAAGGCGAUUCUCUGGACUGUAACUGACGCUGAGGCACGAAAGCGUGGGUAGC
rnacentral:rRNA from 1 species